UACUCUAGAUUUUCUCCAAAAUGCCAAGAGAUGACCAAUAAGGUGAAUGGGAAACUCUAAACCAUCCCCAGUGAUGAAACCAAAAUACCCUUUACAAUCAAAUAUCUGCAAAAAAUACACACUUGACAUUUUUGCAGCUGCUCAUAUCCCAGUGGUAUCUCAAGGUCACAAGUGAAGACACAUGGAGCUGAUGCAAUCACUUUUAUCUUUUAAAGUGAAAGAAGUUUUCAUUGGUCAAUUUAAUUCUUGCAUUUAUCAAAGUUCCUGAUGAGCAGAUGGAUGUGGCCAUGCCCUUUUGUUUUCAGAAGACAUCUGGUGAAGCUCAACAACUCUUAUUUUUGUGUUUUACUCUCUGACUGAGCGGUUUCCUUUUCACACUUGCUUUGUGAUAUAAGGCCAAUAUGGGCUGUGGUGGACGGCUGGGGAUCCUGCCCAGCCGGGACGCCUGCAAGGACCAGGAGAGGGACAAUAC